AAAAAGUAUCGGUCCAAUCAUGUUGUUCCCAACUGCUGCUCAACAACCUCAGAUGCCACCAUUACAGAACCUGUCAUUGCCUGCUACCUACAGGGGGAAAACACAUUUCCUACUUGUAAAGUAAAGGCCUACAUGUAAGAAAAUCAUUCAAACAUUUUUGUGUUUGUGGGGAGGAGUCUCACACUGUGCCCUUACUCAGUUGAUUACAGGGCCGGCCCGUGGCAUAGGCGACAGGUGGUUACCUAUGGCGCUUAAAUGUCUGGGGGCGCCGCAAGAGAAGGUUUUCGACUUGGCACAAAUCAUCUCAGCCCAGCUGUUCUGACACCGGCAUAGGCCGUGAUAGCAACUUCAUCACUCAAAAUAACAAAUGGUGUGUAGACCCAAGAGCUUGGUGGAUCCCACAAAGACUGGAGAAGUUAGCAAAAAGAGGGAUAUAUUGCAAAACCCAGUGAAAUGCCUUCAACAGCCAAGAUGAUGAUGAUGGACUAUGACGCAUCAUGAACUUUUAAGCAGAAAUCUUUACACACUGACCAAAAUCUGUUUAUUUUUUCUAUUUUGUUAAAGCUGGGGUAGGCAAUUUAUUGCAGAAGCAAAUUUUAAUAUGUUGAAAUUCUGACUUUAAUAAACAAACAAACAAACAAUCAUUUAAUUUGGUCCGAAGGAGAUAUGAACUUUCAAAUUGCAGAGUUUCUCCAACAUUGCCUACCCUAGGUUUAAUUGAAAGGUUUCAUUUCCUUUGUUGGAAUCAUUAUCAUCUUCUAAACAAAUAAAGAUAUUUUAAAUGUU